ACGACGCUGGCGGCGUGCCUAACACAUGCAAGUCGAACGAAGCUUGAUCACGGAUCUCUUCGGAGUGAAGUGUGAUAUGACUUAGUGGCGGACGGGUGAGUAACGCGUGAGUAACCUGCCUUUCAGAGGGGGAUAACAGUUGGAAACGACUGCUAAUACCGCAUAACGCAGCUAGAUCGCAUGAUCUUACUGCCAAAGCUUUAUGUGCUGGAAGAUGGCCUCGCGUCUGAUUAGCUAGUUGGUGGGGUAACGGCCCACCAAGGCGACGAUCAGUAGCCGGUCUGAGAGGAUGAACGGCCACAUUGGGACUGAGAUACGGCCCAGACUCCUACGGGAGGCAGCAGUGGGGAAUAUUGGGCAAUGGGCGAAAGCCUGACCCAGCAACGCCGCGUGAAGGAAGAAGGCCUUCGGGUUGUAAACUUCUUUAGCAGGGACGAAGGACGUGACGGUACCUGCAGAAAAGCAACGGCUAACUACGUG
rnacentral:rRNA from 1 species